rnacentral:lncRNA from 1 species
AGCUGUUAGGUACCUAAUCAAUAGGCCUCAAAACCCUAUGGCGGCUCUCACUCUGAUUUAAUUCAAGUAGCCCUUUCCAUAGGUAGCCCUUUCCUAGGAUUUGAACCUGGGUCGCAGUGGUUGCUUUGAUACGAAAUGUUAGGUACCUAACCAAUACGCCCAAAAUCCUUCGGUAAUGGAAAUACGGAAAGUUACGCCCUUAAACUACCUAGGAUCAUUACACCAGCAAACCCUAAUUUCCUAGCCCUAAUUUUAUCAAAACGCGUAUAUAGAAUUGCAGCAAAAAAAUAAAAAAUUAACUCACUGAUUUAAGACUUUUCUGUGAGUGAACCCAAAUAUUUCACAUUUAUCAAUUAAAAAUAGCAGAAAAAACAAAAAAAUCAUUAAUUUGGCAUUUAUUAGCAAUAAUAACAACAACAACAACAAAAAUUCAAACUCACUUAUUUGGGGCUUCUUUGUGAGAUUCAAUUAUUUUAAAUUUAUCAAUAAAUAAUAGCAACAAAAAACAACCACUGAUUCGCGACUUCAAUCUUUUCAAGCGCUGUGACAAUGGCGAUGUUGCGAGAUUUGUUGUGGGCGUCUUUCUCUUCUUCGACCUAGGGUUUUCACAGGCUUUACGAGCUUAGCUUUUUCUUCCUCAAGGGAAGCUCGAAGAGGUGCAGAGAUGGGAGGCUCCGAGGGACAGAAGGGAAGCUCACAGAAAUGCGGCGAGAGGGAAUGUUUUGAGGGGUGAAAGUCGGGCAACUUUUUUUGGUUGAAAGUUGCCGCUCACCAUAUGGGAUGCCUGGUUGAUAUGUUGGAGGUGAA